rnacentral:rRNA from 1 species
UUCUCGAAUUUAGAAGAGCUAUUUAUUUUACUGUUAUAAUUAUUUAUAAUAGGAAAUUAAAUGUUAAUAUAUCUAGUUUUCUAAGAUAAUUUAAUUAAUUUAUUUAUUGGGGGAAAAGCUCUAAUUAGGAAUAGAAGUUUUUUUAUAACAACUUUAUUGGAAUAUAAAUUUUAAUUUUUUUAUUAAAAAUGGUUGGAUUAGUAUAAGGUUCUGGAAAGGAAUUCGGCAAAAAUUUCCCACCUGUUUAUUAAAAACAUGUCCUCUUGAAAUUAUUUUGAGGUCUAGCCUGCCCACUGAGGCCGCGGUAUCUUGACCGUGCAAAGGUAGCAUAAUCAUUAGUUUUUUAAAUGAAAGCUGGAAUGAAUGGUUGGAUGAGGUAAUAUCUGUCUCUUUGGGAUAAAAUUUUAUUUUUAAGUUAGAAAGCUUAAAUAUAACUAAAAGACGAGAAGACCCUAUAGAGUUUAAUUUUGGUUGGGGUGAUUAGAAAAUUAGUUUAACUUUUGAUUAUUAGAAAAAAUUACCUUAGGGAUAACAGAGUAAUUUUUCUUAGAGUUCAAAUCGAUAGAAGAGAUUGCUACCUCGAUGUUGGAUUAAAAUUUAUUUUGGUGUAGAAGCU